rnacentral:lncRNA from 1 species
UUAAUUUUAAAAGUUAAUUAAAAUUAUUUUACAAAAUUUGAAAAAAAGUUGCAACUCAGUCCGUUGCCGGCGCCGCCGUCUCUCCCGGUGCCGCCGCCAUAAAAUCACUAUUAAUCGACACAUCCCAACUAACAGAUCGGAAAUUCAACGAUCUAUCUAAAGGUGGUGUUUGAUUUAGAAACUAACAAAUGAUGGAGGCGCACGCGCAUCACAAAAAGCCACAGCCACCACAUGGCCGUCGCACGUUUGUGAGAAACAAACAAACAACUGACAAUAAUGGACUUGACGCCUGUGAACUGGGAAGCUCUGGACGCACUCAUCCUCGAGUUCGCAAAAUCUGAGAACUUAAUCGAAGACUCAAUUGUAUCAUCUCCACCAUCUUCUCCGUCUUCUUCUUCCACGUCUUCGGUCUCUCUCUCCUCUUCUUCUUCUUCCACGUCUUCGUCUUCUUCUUGAUUUUUUUUCAACGGUGGCAGCUGAUACUUGGCAUGUGAUUCGAGGUCGUUGUUUUUUGGUGAAAUUAAGUGAGUUUGUGAAGGAUUUUUCGGAUGAAAAUGGUGUGAAACGAGGCUGCAAAGUGCUGAAGAAGGAGGAGCGGAGGUUGGUGGUGGUUGUUACGUCCAUGUUUGGAUAGUCGGAAACUGAAAGAAAGAGAAGGAAAAUUUCUGGGUCUGUUUAUUACAAUUUUCAUUUUUUAUUUUAUAAAAUUAAAAUUUUGUAAACUUGUGUUAGGUUAAAUGAAUAUCUAUCGGGUAAAAAUAAUUAUC